GUGGUAGUGGCUCAGUGGUGGAGCUCCCGCUUAGUAUGCGGGAAGACCUGGGUUCGAUUCCCGGCUGCUUACC
rnacentral:tRNA from 1 species